UACGUAGGGGGCAAGCGUUGUCCGGAAUCAUUGGGCGUAAAGGGCGCGUAGGCGGCGUGACAAGUCACUUGUGAAAUCUCCGGGCUUAACUCGGAACGGUCAAGUGAUACUGUCGUGCUAGAGUACAGAAGGGGCAACUGGAAUUCUCGGUGUAGCGGUGAAAUGCGUAGAUAUCGGGAGGAACACCAGUGGCGAAGGCGGCGAUCUGGGCUGAUACUGACGCUGAGGUGCGAAAGCGUGGGGAGCAAACAGG
rnacentral:rRNA from 1 species